AUGCUCGCUUCGGCAGCACAUAAACUAAAAUUGGAACGAUACAGAGAAGAUUAGCAUGGUCCUUGUGCAAGGAUGACAAGGAAAUUCGUGAAUUAAAACACUUUCAA